rnacentral:rRNA from 1 species
ACUCAAAUGAAUAGACGGGGGCCCGCACAAGCGGAGGAACAUGUGGUUUAAUUCGAUGAUACGCGAGGAACCUUACCCGGGCUUGAAAUGCAUCUGACAGGAGCAGAGACGCUCUCUUCCUUCGGGACAGAUGUGUAGGUGCUGCAUGGUUGUCGUCAGCUCGUGCCGUGAGGUGUCGGCUUAAGUGCCAUAACGAGCGCAACCCUCAUCAUUAGUUACCAUCAGGUUAAGCUGGGGACUCUAAUGAGACUGCCAUCGUAAGAUGCGAGGAAGGUGGGGAUGACGUCAAAUCAGCACGGCCCUUACGUCCGGGGCGACACACGUGUUACAAUGGGUGGUACAAAGGGCAGCUACAUGGCGACAUGAUGCUAAUCUCCAAAACCACUCUCAGUUCGGAUCGGAGUCUGCAACUCGACUUCGUGAAGCUGGAUUCGCUAGUAAUCGCGCAUCAGCCACGGCGCGGUGAAUACGUUCCCGGGCCUUGCACACACCGCCCGU